UACAGAGGGGGCAAGCGUUGUCCGGAAUUACUGGGCGUAAAGGGCGCGUAGGCGGCCUGCUAAGUCGAACGUGAAAUCCCUGGGCUCAACCCAGGAACUGCGUCCGAUACUGGUUGGCUUGAAUCCGGGAGAGGGAUGUGGAAUUCCAGGUGUAGCGGUGAAAUGCGUAGAGAUCUGGAGGAAUACCGAUGGCGAAGGCAGCCUUCUGGCCUAAUACUGACGCUGAGGUGCGAAAGCAUGGGGAGCAAACAGG
rnacentral:rRNA from 1 species